UACGUAGGAGGCAAGCGUUGUCCGGAAUUACUGGGCGUAAAGCGCGUGUAGGUGGUGGGACAAGUCUGCUGUGAAAGCGCCUGGCUUAACCGGGCGAGGUCGGCGGAAACUGUCCGACUCGAGGACGGUAGAGGGGGGUGGAAUUCCCGGUGUAGUGGUGAAAUGCGUAGAUAUCGGGAGGAACACCAGUGGCGAAGGCGGCUUCCUGGCCUGCAACUGACGCUGAGACGCGAAAGCGUGGGGAGCGAACCGG
rnacentral:rRNA from 1 species